CGUGCUGCUGGCGGAGAUGAGGCCGCCGAAGGGAUCGCGGCCUUUUUGGAAAAACGUAAGCCCCGGUUUUAGACCGGGCAGCGCCACC
rnacentral:tRNA from 1 species